rnacentral:lncRNA from 1 species
CUGGCCCACGUGACGUACAGACCCGCCACAAAUACAAAGUUCAUCUGUUCACUCGGACAGAGUCUCCUUUGUAUUUGCACGGCAUACCAACGGAUACAACAGGAUCACAACCACAACCUACAUUUACCAAUCAGCAACCAAUUCAUGAUAUGCAUUUUCAUACAGCUAACAAUCCUUAGAGAUGAUGCAUGCCUCUAAACACUCCUUAGACG